rnacentral:rRNA from 1 species
UAGGGAAUCUUCCGCAAUGGACGAAAGUCUGACGGAGCAACGCCGCGUGAGUGAAGAAGGAUUUCGGUUCGUAAAACUCUGUUGUUAGGGAAGAAAAAAUGUAUAGUAACUAUAUACAAAGGAGACGGUACCUAACCAGAAAGCCACGGCUAACUACGUGCCAGCAGCCGCGGUAAUACGUAGGUGGCAAGCGUUGUCCGGAAUUAUUGGGCGUAAAGCGCGCGCAGGUGGUUUAGAAAGUCUGAUGUGAAAGCCCACGGCUCAACCGUGGAGGGUCAUUGGAAACUAAUAAACUUGAGUGCAGGAGAGAAAAGUGGAAUUCCUAGUGUAGCGGUGAAAUGCGUAGAGAGUAGGAGGAACACCGGUGGCGAAAGCGGCUUUUUGGCCUGCAACUGACACUGAGGCGCGAAAGCGUGGGGAGCAAACAGG